CUAAGAAUGAAGAAGAAGAAUUCAACACUAGACCACUAUCUGUUCUGAUGAUGAGUAUUAAAAAUGAUACUCAUGUAUGUUUUUUUAACAUUAGAUAGUAACAUGGAUUCUGAGGCAGCCCCUAGAAGGCAUUUUAUGUCUGAGGUUUUAACCAGACACUUUAACUUCAAUAGCAAGAAGCUUCUGGGUCGUGGCAUGGCUUUUCAUAGGCACCGCAACAUGGUUCAGGAUCAAAAUUUUAAAAAUAGUUUAUUCGAUGAAAACUAAAUAGUGAAGAAGCAAGAAUCAAAUAAUCAUCCAGCCAACUGCUGAACCUGAAAGUACAAUUUUUCGAAAUCAGAUUGGAAAUGUCCUUUGCAGUAUGCAGGAACAACUUUUUGAAUGAUUUGCCUUCCUUGGA